rnacentral:rRNA from 1 species
UACGUAGGGUGCAAGCGUUAAUCGGAAUUACUGGGCGUAAAGCGUGCGCAGGCGGUUUUGUAAGUCUGACGUGAAAUCCCCGGGCUUAACCUGGGAAUGGCAUUGGUGACUGCACGGCUAGAGUGUGUCAGAGGGGGGUAGAAUUCCACGUGUAGCAGUGAAAUGCGUAGAGAUGUGGAGGAACACCGAUGGCGAAGGCAGCCCCCUGGGUCAAGAUUGACGCUCAUGCACGAAAGCGUGGGGAGCAAACAGG